UACGUAGGGUGCGAGCGUUGUCCGGAAUUAUUGGGCGUAAAGAGCUCGUAGGCGGUGUGUCGCGUCGGCCGUGAAAACCUGCAGCUUAACUGUGGGCGUGCGGUCGAUACGGGCAUCACUGGAGUUCGGCAGGGGAGACUGGAAUUCCUGGUGUAGCGGUGAAAUGCGCAGAUAUCAGGAGGAACACCGGUGGCGAAGGCGGGUCUCUGGGCCGAUACUGACGCUGAGGAGCGAAAGCGUGGGGAGCAAACAGG
rnacentral:rRNA from 1 species